rnacentral:rRNA from 1 species
ACACGUAGGGCGCAAGCGUUGUCCGGAUUUAUUGGGCGUAAAGGGCUCGUAGGCGGUUUCGUAAGUCGGGUGUGAAAACUCAGGGCUCAACCCUGAGACGCCACUCGAUACUGCGAUGACUUGAGUCCGGUAGGGGAGCAGGGAAUUCCUGGUGUAGCGGUGAAAUGCGCAGAUAUCAGGAGGAACACCAUUAGCGAAGGCGCUGCUCUGGGCCGGUACUGACGCUGAGGAGCGAAAGCAUGGGGAGCAAACAGGAUUAGAAACCCUUGUAGUCC